rnacentral:rRNA from 1 species
GACUUUUACUUUGAGGAAAUUAGAGUGUUCACGGCAGGCAAGUGCUUUGAAUACAUUAUCAUGGAAUAAUAAUAUAAGACCUUCGUUCUAUUUUGUUGGUUUCUAAAGCUUAGGUAAUGAUUAAUAGGGACAAUUGGGGGCAUUCGUAUUAACGCGUCAGAGGUGGAAUUCUUGGAUUGCGUUACGACAAACUACUGCAAAAGCAUUUGCCAAACAUGUUUUCAUUGAUCAAGAACGAAAGUAUGGGGAUCGAAGACGCUUAUAUACCGUCAUACUCUAUACCAUAAACUAUGCCAACUAGAGAUUGGUGGGGUUCUCCUAUUUGGCUCCAUC